rnacentral:rRNA from 1 species
GAUGAACGCUGGCGGCGUGCCUAAUACAUGCAAGUCGAGCGAACGGACGAGAAGCUUGCUUCUCUGAUGUUAGCGGCGGACGGGUGAGUAACACGUGGAUAACCUACCUAUAAGACUGGGAUAACUUCGGGAAACCGGAGCUAAUACCGGAUGAUAUUUUGAACCGCAUGGUUCAAAAGUGAAAGACGGUCUUGCUGUCACUUAUAGAUGGAUCCGCGCUGCAUUAGCUAGUUGGUAAGGUAACGGCUUACCAAGGCAACGAUGCAUAGCCGACCUGAGAGGGUGAUCGGCCACACUGGAACUGAGACACGGUCCAGACUCCUACGGGGGGCAGCAGUAGGGAAUCUUCCGCAAUGGGCGAAAGCCUGACGGAGCAACGCCGCGUGAGUGAUGAAGGUCUUCGGAUCGUAAAACUCUGUUAUUAGGGAAGAACAUAUGUGUAAGUAACUGUGCACAUCUUGACGGUACCUAAUCAGAAAGCCACGGCUAACUACGUGC